UACGGAGGGUGCAAGCGUUAAUCGGAAUUACUGGGCGUAAAGCGCACGCAGGUGGCUGAGUCAGUCGAUUGUGAAAGCCCUGGGCUUAACCUGGGAAUUGCAGUCGAUACUACUCAGCUAGAGUAUGGGAGAGGGUAGUGGAAUUCCCGGUGUAGCGGUGAAAUGCGCAGAUAUCAGGAGGAACACCGAUUGCGAAGGCAGCUCGCUGGGACGUUACUGACGCUGAGACGCGAAAGCGUGGGGAGCAAACAGG
rnacentral:rRNA from 1 species